rnacentral:rRNA from 1 species
AUGGACGAAGAUGAUCUUAUGGUUGGCUUGUUCCUUCGGGACACCGGACUCAUGGUAAGCCAAGUGCCUGCCGUCACUGAGCCUGAUCCUUGUCCCGGUCACCGGAGGGCCGUCCGGGGAUCCGCAGAUUUUUGGAGGCGGAGCCUGAAGCUGACGGUACAGAACCGCAAGCAGGAACAUGAAUGCAAGACGGGGAAGCCUUUUGGCUAUACCUAUGAGAGGAAACGGCCGGAGGCGGCGGGGCUUGCGUGCCAUUGCCGUUGGCGGAGGUGGACGACGGCUUCUCGCCUGGCCCUGCCAUGGCCGGAUCAGGCGCGCCAAGUGCGCGCAGGUGGAGCAGAGCGAAUCAGCUAG